rnacentral:rRNA from 1 species
GAUGUGCCGCAAGGUGCAUGGCAGACGGGUGAGUAACGCGUAGGGAAUCUACCUUUUUGUGGGGAAUAACGCUCCGAAAGGAGUGGUAAUACCGCAUGAGACCAGUGACUGGGAUGUUGCUGGUGAAACCUGGGGACCGCAAGGCCUGGGGCAAGAAGAGGAUCCUGCGUCUGAUUAGCUAGUUGGCGGGGUAAUGGCCCACCAAGGCGACGAUCAGUAGCCGGCCUGAGAGGGUGAUCGGCCACACUGGAACUGAGACACGGUCCAGACUCCUACGGGAGGCAGCAGUGGGGAAUUUUGCGCAAUGGACGAAAGUCUGACGCAGCAACGCCGCGUGGGUGAUGAAGGUCUUCGGACUGUAAAACCCUGUCGUCAGGGACGAAGGUGCGCACGUUAAUAGUGUGCUUGACGGUACCUGGAGAGGAAGCCCCG